UGUUGCUUGCAUGCAUGUGGGUCCUGUUCUAAUCUGAAUUUGCAGGUGCCUGGCAUGUAUGUAAGAGCACAAGAAAUUUCUCCUGACUCCAGUAAUUAAGGGCAUGAGAUGCACUUCACAACACAUACAAUCUUCACAUUUUUGUCAGUCAUAUAUCUCUCUAAAGUAGCUUGCUAAAUAAGUCAUCUGUUUUACACUGCUGAAGUCGAUUCUUGGCUGAACUAAAUGGCAUGGCUUUGUGGAUCAAAUGAUUGGGGUGGAUACUCUAAUAUGGGGUCACGAGGAGAAUCCAGCUCUCUUGCUCCCCCCAGCUGCUGAAGAAAAAUAGCAACAGCAAUGUCAUAAACCCAGAAAUGCGUCCAUCAUUUCUCUGCCCAGAUAACCUCACCAAACUAAAAUGAAUCACUUCUAAAAAAAAAAUAAUAAAUAAAUAAAUAAAUAAAUAUAUAUAUAUA
rnacentral:lncRNA from 1 species